GCCGAAGUGGCGGAACUGGCAGACGCGCUGGAUUCAAAAUCCAGUUCAGUUAACCCUGAGUGUGGGUUCGAGUCCCACCUUCGGCA
rnacentral:tRNA from 1 species